rnacentral:rRNA from 1 species
UACGAAGGGGGCUAGCGUUGCUCGGAAUCACUGGGCGUAAAGCGCACGUAGGCGGGCUCUUAAGUCGGUGGUGAGAUCCUGGAGCUCAACUCCAGAACUGCCUCCGAUACUGAGAGUCUUCGAGUUCGGGAGAGGUGAGUGGAACUGCGAGUGUAGAGGUGAAAUUCGUAGAUAUUCGCAAGAACACCAGUGGCGAAGGCGGCUCACUGGACGACUGUUGACGCUGAGGUGCGAAAGCGUGGGGAGCAAACAGG